rnacentral:misc_RNA from 1 species
ACAAACUUGGUCAUUUAGAGGAAGUAAAAGUCGUAACAAGGUUUCCGUAGGUGAACCUGCGGAAGGAUCAUUAAAGAUUCGGGCUUCGGCCUAACCUCUCUUCAGCUGUGCGCUUCGGCUGCACGCUGUAGAAAACCUCUCACACCUGUGCACCUUUUCGGUUGCGGCGUUAACGCGUCGCUUCCGCUAUACAUAUAACUACAAAGUCUAGAAUGUUUAAACUAUAAUAAUAAAACAACUUUCAACAACGGAUCUCUUGGCUCUCGCAUCGAUGAAGAACGCAGC